GGCGGCGUGCUUAACACAUGCAAGUCGAACGCGAAAGGGACUUCGGUCCUGAGUAAAGUGGCGCACGGGUGAGUAACGCGUAGAUAACCUGUCUUCAUGUCUGGAAUAAUACGCCGAAAGGGGUACUAAUACCGGAUAUUCUUGCUUUUCAUAAGUUAUGCAAGCAAAGGUGGCCUCUGCAUAUGCUACUGCAUGAAGAGGGGUCUGCGUACCAUUAGCUAGUAGGUGGGGUAAUGGCCUACCUAGGCGACGAUGGUUAGCGGGUCUGAGAGGAUGAUCCGCCACACUGGCACUGGAACACGGGCCAGACUCCUACGGGAGGCAGCAGUGAGGAAUAUUGCGCAAUGGGGGAAACCCUGACGCAGCGACGCCGCGUGAGUGAAGGAAGGCCUUCGGGUCGUAAAGCUCUGUCAAGAGGAAAGAAGUGUACAAUGGCUAAUACCUGUUGUAUUUGACGGUACCUCUAAAGGAAGCACCGGCUAACUCCGUGCCAGCAGCCGC
rnacentral:rRNA from 1 species